rnacentral:lncRNA from 1 species
GGAAUCCUGGACAAAGUGUGGCUCAAAAUGGGACCCCUGUCUCUGUAGACCCACCCAGCAAUCAUCCCGUUUCCACGAGUGUGUAGUUGGCAUUCAUAUGCUUGGCAGUUGGAGUAACCUCCACAUUUGGUCCCUGGUCUGUGGAGUAAGGGGUCUCUGUGCUGAAGACCAAGGAAACCUUUGAAACUGGUCCCGUCUUGGCCAAAUUAGAAAUGACGAUGUGUCCCAGGGCAGGUAUUGUGGAGGUUUUGCAGGUAUUGUAGGAGUUAGCACCACCAUUAGAGACCUGACAGAUGCAGGGGCCAUGGUGGUGUUGCCUAUUAUCUCCAGUUAAUUCAACAAUCUGUCCCUGCAGGAACCUGAUGUGGUCUAAAGAAUGCAAGAGCUACUUCAGACUCAACCAAGUAGUGGUCCUGAUGCAGCUGCUGUGCUGGAUGUGAUGUCACUGCUAGAGCAGAGGAAGAUUUACCCUGAGCUAACGUCUGUUGCCAAUAUUCCUCUUUCUUUCUUUCUGUUUUUUUUUUCAUGUGAACCACCACCACAGCAUGGCCACUGACAGAUGAGUGGUGUAGUUCUGUGCCCAGAAACUGAACCUGGGCCACUGAGGUGGAGCACACCAAACGUAACCACUAGGCCACUGAGGUUGACCCUAUAACAUAGUCUUAAGAGUUCUGAACCUCCUGGAUAUUCUGUAGAAUAUCACAUGAGUUCAUUUCAUUGACAACCCCAUGUUGAUUGGGAUGGAUGAGUAUGCUGGAGGCCUUGGUCAAACACAUGCACUCCAGAGGGUGGAAGAUAAACUUGACAAAGACUCAGGGAGUGGCCACCUCAGUUUGGUUCUAGAGGCCCAGUGGUUAGGGGCAUGGAGGGAUGUCGCUUCCAAAGUAAAUGACAAACUGUUGAUCUUGCAUCCCUCACUGCAAAGAAGGAAGCACACUACCUGGUAUGCCUUUUUGGGUUCUAACAACAACAGCCUAGGUAACAUUCCACCCCUAGGUACAUUAUUUGGCUCAUACUCUGGGUGACAUAGAAGGAUGCCAGCUUUGAGUGGAGCUUGGACAUUAAAGGCACUGCAGUAGAUCCAGGCCAUGGUGAAAGCAGCCACCAUUCAUCAGAUCCAAUGGUGUUGGAGGUGUCAGUGGUGGGAAAGAUGCCAUGUGGAGCUAAAGGCAAAUACCAGUGGGAGAAUCAUAUGCUGCCUCCUGGGAUUCUGAAGGAAGGCCAUGCCAUCUGCAGCAGAGAAAUAUACCCUCUUUUAGAAGCAACUUUAGGUGUGUUAUUGAGCGCUGAGAAGACAAAACUUGACUAUGGGACACCAAGCAGCCUUGUGAUUAAAAAUGAUCAUAUGCGCUGGGUUCUGCCUAAUUCUCUAAGUCAUCAAUUGGGCAGGUCCACAAAAGCCCAUCGUAAGAUGGAAAUGAUAUAUCUAUGGUUAAGCCAGAAUCAUAUGUUCACACCCACCAGAAAACAUCCACUUCUGAAGAGGCACUGAACAGCCAAGAAGAUAAAUUAACCUUAUCCAGCCUCUAUCAUUGAUCAAUCCAGGACUGCCAGGAUGGGCACAUGAAUGGAGUGACCAAGAUGGCAGAGAUGAGACUCCAUAUGGGUCCAGCAGCAGUGACUCCCACUUACCAAGGCUGUUCCAGCUACUGCCACCUCUGAAUGUCCAUCAUGUCAGCAUUAAACCAAUAUUGGGCCCUAAUAUAGCACUAUUUCUUUAGGUGACCAACUAGCCACCAAGUGACAAGUUGACUAGAGCAAGCCCCUUCCAUCCUGGGAGGGCCAGAAGUUCAUCUCCACAGGGAUAGACACCUAUUCCAUGUGUGGCUUUUCUUUCCCUGUCCUCAGAACUUCAGCCAGCAGAACUAUGGGGCCUAUCGAAAUGUUGGAUCCACAGGCUUGAAAUUGUUGUAGCACAGUAUCCAAUAAGAGGGACUUACCUCACAAUGAAAGAGGUACAGGAUGGGCUAUGACCAGGGAAUCCACUGGUCAUAUCAUUACCGCCUACAAACAUAGCUUCCUUACCUGCCACACAUGAGGGGUGAAAUAAAAACUGGAAUGCCAGGCUUAUGGCAAGGAAAGGCUUUUUAUUUUGGAUGACAUCAGCCAGGAGAUGAGACUGAGCCCCC